AUUGAACGCUGGCGGCAGGCCUAACACAUGCAAGUCGAGCGAGCGGCGGACGGGUGAGUAAUGUCUGGGAAACUGCCUGAUGGAGGGGGAUAACUACUGGAAACGGUAGCUAAUACCGCAUACCAUCAGAUGUGCCCAGAUGGGAUUAUCUAGUAGGUGGGGUAAUGGCUCACCUAGGCGACGAUCCCUAGCUGGUCUGAGAGGAUGACCAGCCGCACUGGAACAGGGAGACGGUGCAGACUCCUACGGGAGGCAGCAGUGGGGAAUAUUGCACAAUGGGCGCAAGCCUGAUGCAGCCAUGCCGCGUGUGUGAAGAAGGCCUUCGGGUUGUAAAGCACUUUCAGCGAGGAAGCGUUACUCACAGAAGAAGCACCGGCUAACUCCGUGCCAGCAGCCGCGGUAAUAC
rnacentral:rRNA from 1 species